GACGAACGCUGGCGGCGUGCUUAACACAUGCAAGUCGAACGGAAAGGCCCUGCUUUUGUGGGGUGCUCGAGUGGCGAACGGGUGAGUAACACGUGAGUAACCUGCCCUUGACUUUGGGAUAACUUCAGGAAACUGGGGUAAUUACGGGAUGGGACCCCUGGCUGCUGGGGGGGGGUGGGAAGGUUUCGGCGGUGGGGGAUGGACUCGCGGCUUAUCAGCUGGUUGGUGGGGUAGUGGCUUACCAAGGCUUUGACGGGUAGCCGGCCUGAGAGGGUGACCGGCCACAUUGGGACUGAGAUACGGCCCAGACUCCUACGGGAGGCAGCAGUGGGGAAUAUUGCACAAUGGGCGGAAGCCUGAUGCAGCAACGCCGCGUGCGGGAUGACGGCCUUCGGGUUGUAAACCGCUUUCGCCUGUGACGAAGCGUGAGUGACGGUAAUGGGUAAAGAAGCACCGGCUAACUACGUG
rnacentral:rRNA from 1 species